CGAUCAGGUUGUUGGUGAGGUAAUGGCCCACCAAGCCUAUAACCGGUGCGGGCCGUGAGAGCGGGAGCCCGGAGAUGGGCACUGAGACAAGGGCCCAGGUCCUACGGGGCGCAGCAGUCGCGAAAACUUUGCAAUACACGAAAGUGUGACAGGGUCAUCCCGAGUGCCGACCGCUGAGGUUGGCUUUUACCCAGUCUAGAAAGCUGGGGGAAUAAGGAGAGGGCAAGUCUGGUGUCAGCCGCCGCGGUAAUACCAGCUCUCCGAGUGGUGUGGACGUUUAUUGGGCCUAAAGCAUCCGUAGCUGGCUGAACAAGUCCCCUGUUAAACCCACCGAUUUAAUCGUUGGCGUGCGGGGGAUACUGCUCGGCUAGGGGACGAGAGAGGCAGACGGUAUUCCCGGGGUAGGGGUGAAAUCCUAUAAUCCCGAGAAGACCACCAGUGGCGAAGGCUGUCUGCUAGAACGCGCCCGACGGUGAGGGAUGAAAGCUGGGGGAGCGAACCGGAUUAGAUACCCGGGUAGUCCCAGCUGUAAACGAUGCAGACUAGGUGUUUGGACGGCCACGUGCCGUUCUAGUGCCGCAGGGAAGCUGUUAAGUCUGCCGCCUGGGGAGUACGAUCGCAAGAUUGAAACUUAA
rnacentral:rRNA from 1 species